UACGUAGGGUGCGAGCGUUGUCCGGAAUUAUUGGGCGUAAAGAGCUCGUAGGCGGUUUGUCGCGUCGACUGUGAAAACCCGUGGCUCAACCAUGUGGUCUGCAGUCGAUACGGGCAGGCUAGAAUUCGGUAGGGGAGACUGGAAUUCCUGGUGUAGCGGUGAAAUGCGCAGAUAUCAGGAGGAACACCGGUGGCGGAGGCGGGUCUGUGGGCCGAUAUUGACGCUGAGGAGCGAAAGCGUGGGGAGCGAACAGG
rnacentral:rRNA from 1 species